UACGAAGGGGGCUAGCGUUGUUCGGAAUCACUGGGCGUAAAGGGCGCGUAGGCGGCUGUUCAAGUCGGGGGUGAAAUCCCGUGGCUCAACCACGGAAUGGCCUUCGAUACAGGACGGCUGGAGACCGGAAGAGGUGAGUGGAACUGCGAGUGUAGAGGUGAAAUUCGUAGAUAUUCGCAAGAACACCAGUGGCGAAGGCGGCUCACUGGUCCGGUUCUGACGCUGAGGCGCGAAAGCGUGGGGAGCGAACAGG
rnacentral:rRNA from 1 species